rnacentral:rRNA from 1 species
AACGCUGGCGGCGUGCUAAUACAUGCAAGUAAACGCACAGGAUGCACCGUAGUUUACUACACCGUAUUCUGUGAGUUGCGAACGGGUGAGUAACGCGUAGGUAACCUGCCUGGUAGCGGGGGAUAACUAUUGGAAACGAUAGCUAAUACCGCAUAAGAACAUUUACUGCAUGGUAGAUGUUUAAAAGGUGCAAAAGCAUCACUACCAGAUGGACCUGCGUUGUAUUAGCUAGUUGGUGAGGUAACGGCUCACCAAGGCAACGAUACAUAGCCGACCUGAGAGGGUGAUCGGCCACACUGGGACUGAGACACGGCCCAGACUCCUACGGGAGGCAGCAGUAGGGAAUCUUCGGCAAUGGGGGGAACCCUGACCGAGCAACGCCGCGUGAGUGAAGAAGGUUUUCGGAUCGUAAAGCUCUGUUGUUAAGGAAGAACGUGUGUGAGAGUGGAAAGUUCACACAGUGACGGUACUUAACCAGAAAGGGACGGCUAACUACGUGCCAGCAGCCGCGGUAAUACGUAGGUCCCGAGCGUUGUCCGGAUUUAUUGGGCGUAAAGCGAGCGCAGGCGGUUAGAUAAGUCUGAAGUGAAAGGCAGUGGCUCAACCAUUGUAGGCUUUGGAAACUGUUUAACUUGAGUGCAGAAGGGGAGAGUGGAAUUCCAUGUGUAGCGGUGAAAUGCGUAGAUAUAUGGAGGAACACCGGUGGCGAAAGCGGCUCUCUGGUCUGUAACUGACGCUGAGGCUCGAAAGCGUGGGGAGCGAACAGGAUUAGAUAACCUGGUAGUCCACGCCGUAAACGAUGAGUGCUAGGUGUUAGGUCCUU